GGUGGUAUGGCACAAUGGUUAGCGCAUUCGGCUGUUAUAUCUGGUUCUCCAGGUAAGCGACCGAAAGGUUGUAAGUUCGACCCUUACUACCACCG